rnacentral:rRNA from 1 species
CCCUUAGAUGUUCUGGGCCGCACGCGCGCUACACUGAUGCAUUCAACGAGCCUAUCCUUGACCGACAGGUCCGGGUAAUCUUUGAAUCUGCAUCGUGACGGGGAUAGAUUAUUGCAAUUAUUAAUCUUCAACGAGGAAUGCCUAGUAGGCGCAAGUCAUCAGCUUGCGUCGAUUACGUCCCUGCCCUUUGUACACACCGCCCGUCGCUCCUACCGAUUGGGUGUGCUGGUGAAAUGUUCGGAUCGGCCGUUUGUCGCGGUUUCCGCAGCUCGUGGCUGAGAAGUUCAUUAAACCCUCCCACCUAGAGGAAGGAGAAGUCGUAACA